rnacentral:lncRNA from 1 species
GUAACUAGAUGGUGCACAUGGUUCCUGGUGAUGCUCAGCAUAGUUUAUUUCACUAUCUCUCUUUUGUGGUUGAAUCUCUAAGGCCUCUGAAAGACAUAAAGUGGACAUUCAUGGUUAAGGCAUUCCUGCUUAAAAGCAGGGGGCUGGAUGGGAUGACCUUUGAGAAGGUAUUUGAAGAUUUGCCAAUGGAAGACAGAGAAAAACCAGUGCAUCCUGGUGGUUAAGAGAACUGGCUUUUGCAUCAGGCUACCUGGGUCCAAUUCCUAGCUCUGCUACCUGUUGACUGUGAAACAUGGGGCAAGUUACUUAAUCCUCCUGAGCCUCCGAUUCUCCAUAUCUAAAAUGGGGAUAGCAAAAGAACCUAUUCCAUAGGGUAGCUAGGGCCCCAGAGGGCAGACAUAGGAGCAAAUCAAUGGAGGUCAUAAGGACAUUGAUAGUGCUUCAACUCAAAAAAGAAUAUUCUGUUAAAUUGUAGAAACAAGGAAUAGGAAGAAGAGAGGGAGGAAAGAAAAAGGUGGUUGGAUCCUACCUCAGGGAAUUCUGUGAAAUGGUGAGGAAAUGAUGGACUGACAUUCCUGAAGCACGUCCAGGGCAGCUGUUUGGGCCAUGUCUUCAAUGUGAGCUUCCAGAUCAGAUCCCUUAGGAAGCUGAGACUGGCACUGUCUAAGAGUAAGCACCUUGCCCAACCAGGAGCAGCCUGUGCCCCCAGGGUGGCAUCUUCCUCUCAUUACAGCCUCCUGAAUGGCCUUUGCCCCACUCUUAAUUGGAAAAAGACUGACUGUCCUCUAUAAAUAGCUCUUUCUCUGGCUUGGAGGCAUCCUUCUUUUCCUCUUCCUUCUCCCUCAUCCUGCCAAGCUACCUGGUUGAUGUUGAGUCUAUGCCAAUCAUCCCCUUCUCUCUAUUUGGCCAUUGCUGGCCUAGUGAUGGCCUCCAUGUCUUUCUCCUGCACCCAGAGGCCCUUCCAGCAUGGCAUGUGCAGCUCAGGGAGCCCCAACCAAUCUGCCAACCUUGACCUCUUCAGUCCUAAUCUCCCCACCAAAUGACCCUCUUACAGUCUUAGGUUCCUUGUUUGUAAAACGGGGCCUCCAUGUGUAUUCAGCGAGAUAAUGGACAUGAAAUGCCUAGCACAGAAAUUGCAAGCUAUGAUUAUGUUGUUGUUGUUCUUAUCAUCAGAUGGGGUGUGAUGAGGCCAAGCCCUCCAUGCAGUCUUGAGGAUAAGACCCCAGCCUGGAAAGAGGCACCCCAAACUGAGAGUAAGACAAGGCAGGAGAUGAGAGGGACUGAAAAGGAGUGGAGGGGGGCAAAGUGAACGAAGUUCAUGCUAAAGAUACUUGGCAGUAGCAAGGCCACAGGCCUGUGGCUGGGCGCCAGGCAAACCGCGAGCCUCAUUUCCAUAUGCAGGUCAGCCUGCGGCAUGUUUAUGGCUGCCUCUCACACAGCUUUACCAGGAAGGUCCGGCCCCCAAGGGCCGUGGGAGGUAGCAGGCGCUGGCUGUGGGAGGUGGGCUGCAUGCCUUUGGCUGGCAGGGCACAGUUCCCAUCAGAGUCAAUUAGCAGGCCCACAGCCCCCGAUGUGAGGUCAGGAAGCAGGCCCCAGGCACCUCGGGGAUGUGUGAAGUGAUGGAGGUGAGAUCUAUAUGUGGGGCUGUCCACACAUGGCUGUGUGGUUAUAAAUACACACAGACCGCUCGUGGAGCACUGCGGGUGCCCACACAGCUCUGCACGGGGCUAUAUAUGAGAUGUAAACAUACACAGACAAGGGCCUGUGGUGCAGGGGGAUUGGAAGGCUGGGGGCUUGGCCAUAGCAGCACCUCCUCGGGUGAUCUUAGACAAGGGUUCUGUGCCUCCUGCUGCUGCGCCAGCUGCCAGGGGCCUGGGGCUCGGAGCUCUCACACUUACUUCUGGGGUUGUCCAAUGAGAAGGCGUGUGGAGGAAGUGCCGAGCCAAGUCUAGUUCUCAAAGUGCUUCUUUAUAAAUAGCUUUCUCGGGCUUGGAGGUAUCCUUCUCUUCCGCUUCUUCCUCAUUCCUCCAAAGCUACCCGGUUGAGUCUAAUUCUAUCCCAGUUAUCCCCCUUCUCUCCACUUUUGCCAUCAUUACUUAAGUCCUGGACUUAAUUUUCUUUUGCUUGCAGUCAGUGGUAAAGGCUUAACCACUGAUUCUCUG